rfam:Thalassiosira oceanica strain CCMP1005 To_g01670, whole genome shotgun sequence.
CAACAGGAUUUUCUAAAAUCCACCCCGCAUUCAAAGACUACUGAAU